UACAGAGGCCCCGAGCGUUAGGCGGAAUCACUGGGCUUAAAGCGUGUGUAGGUGGAUGCCUAAGUACCUUGUGAAAUCCCACGGCUUAACCGUGGAAUUGCUGGGUAUACUGGGUGUCUUGAGCCACUAAGGGGCUACCGGAACAAAUGGUGGAGCGGUGAAAUGCGUAGAUAUCAUUUGGAACGCCAAUGGUGAAAACAGGUAGCUGGGGGUGUGCUGACACUGAGACACGAAAGCCAGGGGAGCGAACGGG
rnacentral:rRNA from 1 species